GUAAAUCUACCAUUGAAAUCUUCUAAAAUGGUUAGAAUUAGGGUAUAAACAACAUCUUCUUUAUUCCUUACUAGAGCCAUGCCUAAGUUAUCAACUCCUUCGUUAUCAGCCUUAGCAUUAACCACAGCAGCUUUUGCCUCAAAGCUCAUAUAAUUAUCCCACCAACCUCUUGGCUAGUGAAACCUGCAAUAAUCAUUUUGCAAAUAUUUCUAACUGUAUUAUUAGUAUUUUUAC
rnacentral:lncRNA from 1 species